UACCCGCUGAACUUAAGCAUAUCAAUAAGCGGAGGAAAAGAAACUAACAAGGAUUCCCCUAGUAACGGCGAGUGAAGAGGGAAAAGCUCAAAUUUUGAAUCCGACGUCUUCGGCGUCCGAGUUGUAAUCUAGAGAAGUGUUUUCCGUGUCGGACCGUGCACAAGUUCCCUGGAACGGGGCGUCAUAGAGGGUGAGAAUCCCGUACGUGGCACGGACUCCCGGUGCUCUGCGAUACACUCUCAACGAGUCGAGUUGUUUGGGAAUGCAGCUCAAAAUGGGUGGUAAAUUCCAUCUAAAGCUAAAUAUUGGCGAGAGACCGAUAGCGAACAAGUACCGUGAGGGAAAGAUGAAAAGCACUUUGGAAAGAGAGUGAAACAGUACGUGAAAUUGUUGAAAGGGAAGCGUUUGAAGUCAGUCGCGUCUGUCGGGGUUCAGCCUGGCUUCUGCCUGGUGUAUUCCCUGUCCGACGGGUCAGCAUCAGUUUCUGCCGAGAGAGAAAGGCUUGGGGAAUGUGGCCGUCUUCGGGCGGUGUUAUAGCCCUCUGUCAUAUGUCUCGGUGGGGACUGAGGACUGCAGCGCGCCUUAUGGCCGGGGUUCGCGCCCUCGGUACGCGCU
rnacentral:rRNA from 1 species